GCUCAGCGUCGCCAGGCUGGCCAAUACUACCUCAGUUUCCCAAGUUUGGAGAUUACAUGUUCUGUUUGUUUUCUUUUUUAACAAACAAUAAAUUUAGUAUAAAGUAAUGGUAGUUGGAGGUAACGUACAAAGUAGAGGUGCUACGCCAAGAUGAAGCGCCACAAUAAGGCCAUCCUGUGUCUGCUGGUUCUUCAUGCACACACCAAUUAUUAGGUGAGGGGUUGGUAUUGGGCCUUCCGUUGCAAUGUUAGGUGUCCAUUUUGUAAUGAGCCCCAUUGGGGAGUUCGACCACUUCCUUGAUCUGUCAGAUCUGAUUGAUCCCCUUUCUGCUCUCAGAAACAAGCCACCUAUCAGUCUGUAAACAAACAAACAAACAAACAAAAAACUAGAUGGUUCCUGGAAGAUGGUGCUGUUUCUGGUGUACUCGGAGGCUGCAGUCAUCUCCCUCAAAAUGGACUUAGAAGCUGUGUUUCCAGAGGCAAGCAGGUAUGAGUUGGGGCCAGCCUGGUCUACGUAGGAAGUUUCGGGCCAGUCAGGUUUGCAGCGAGAACCUGACUCAAAUUAAGAUGGAGUCUCCCAGGGCAGGGCACAGCCUGGAAAAAAAAAAAAAAACACUGUUUCCUACAAUAUAGGGCAAUUUCGAAUAGCGCAUAGCCAUUAGGGCAUCUCGAAAGUGCCCAGUGAGUUUUCUGGGUUCUUGUGUUCCAGAAUUAAAAAAAAAAAAAAAAAACUGGAACAAUGACACACUGAUAGUCAUGUGGGUGGAGAUGGUUGGUUAAGAAGGAAUGUUCCCAACUGUGGACAUGGACAGCCUACUUACUGUCUGGCCACAAUGUGUUGGAGAGCUGUGGUUAUAAGGAGCUGAAAGAUGAUCAGGCUUCUGCAAAUGAUAUGCUAAUGAGGGGAGUAGAAUCUGCCUAAGAAGGACCUAAACCUCCCUCUUUUACCAAUUGGCUGGAGAGGGGGCUUUGGCUCUCCUGCAGUGGGAGUUGGGAUCCUUAUAGCGUAAGGGCUUUAGUUUGAAACUGUCAUAGCUAAAAGGUAGAAAUUUUACAAGACUGAAAAUAACAAUGUUUAAUCAAGAGAAACGUGAUUAACGCCACCAAUGGCUCCAAAGGGCCAAAGCCAGAAAAUCCAUCUCCAUAUUUAUCCCAGGAGAGCUACGUUUGUGUAGCUUGUUCUCUGAGGUAUCAUUCUCCAGGUAAGGAACCGGUGAGUAUGUAAAGUAGAAAAAUCCUCACACAUUUCAUGGUGGGAUUGUAAAAUGGCUUGGUUAUUUAAAAACAAAAUACAGCUAUUUGUGCAGUGAUGUGUGAUCACACCUAAGCGGCAGGGACUUCUCAUUGUGUAGACACCAUAGCAUACUUAUAUAAACUAAUGUUUUAUGUGUUUUGUUUGCUGCUGCAGAUUUACCUGGGGACUGCAUGCAUGCUAAGUCCAUGGUUGUCACGUGACCAUGUGGAAACUGCUGCACAACAGGAGCUCUGGAGUCAGGUGUUGUCUCAAGUUCCUGAUCUUCCUCAGACUUGUCAGUGCUAGGAUUAUAGGAAUGCAGUAGCAUGGUGCCUUUCCUUUGGAAAGAGUAUCCAUACUUUAUGCCUAAGAAAUUCCAUGGCUAGGUGUUACUAAUAAUUAUGACUGCUUGCGACACUGCAUUUCUAAUAGAAAACUGUUCAUCUGGGGCUGGGUAUUAGUGGGGAAAAUGUUUGUUUGCUAUGCAUACGAACCUGGGGUUGAUCCUCGGUGUUGCAGGGAGAGAAAAGCUAUGCUAGUAUUAUUCAUAAUAUUCAUUAUAUCUUUAUGCUGGGAGCAAUCCAAGAGCUGGUGAGAAGCAGAGUGCCUUAGCUAAAUUGGGGAAUAUUUACACAACAGAACACUAUGAAACAAUGUCUCGAAACAACAAAACCCCACAAUUAAAAAAAAAAAAAAGAGGGGUUGGGGAUUUAGCUCAGUGGUAGAGCGCUUGUCUAGGAAGCACAAGGCCCUGGGUUCGGUCCCCAGCUCCGAAAAAAAGGACCAAAAAAAAAAAAAAAAUGAGUGUGUAAGUUAAAACCUGUGCGAAGUUUUAAAUAAUUUUACAAUUUAGGUCUUUGUAGAAUUGAAGUUUGUCAUUCUGCUUCUUCAGUUGUUGUUGUUGUUGUUGUUGCUGUUGUUGUUGUUGUUGUUGUUGUUUUGAGACAGGGUCUUGAUGAAGUAGCCCAGGCUGGCCUCAAAUUUGUUGUCAUCCUACUGCAUCAGCUUCCCGUGUCCUGGGGCUGUGAGCAUUCACCACCAAGUCUGGUUCCAUGGUUUUCUUACGCUCGAUCUAUCAUGCCGGGCUUAGGCAGUGAAGGAGUUGGAAGACAGAAAGCUGGCGAUAAUGUAGUAGAAUAAGGGAGGCCAAGGUUCAGCUCCAGCAAGCAGCAGAACUCGGCAGCUUCACCACGUGGCUCUGGCUUUAGAGUCCAGACGGGAAGGGACUACUGGGACAACUGAUGUUGGUCAGCCUGAGCUAAGAAGUCAGCAGUGAUUAAGAAGUGACCAGCAUCACUGAAGUGAAAUCUUUCCUGAGAGCACAAAGAAGCUAUGUUCCAGAGACACCCAAGGUCGUACCUCGUGCUGCAGCUGGACUUGGUAACGUGUAAGAAUCACUCAGGUGGUACUGGCUUUGAAGGUAUGAAGGGGUCAUGGAGAGUGGCUGAGGCUUGGCACCGAGAGAGGCCAUGGAAGGCCAUUGGUGAAGGUGCAGCCUCAGUUGCAGUGGAUGGCCCAAGAUGGCCCAAGAAUGAAGGGGUCAUGCAAAGGAGUUGAGGCUUGGCACCAUGAAGAGAGCCCAUGAGAGGCUAUUGGUGAAGCCUGGUUGCAGCAGAAGUCCCCAGUGUAUUGGAGAUGCCAGUACCAUGGGAUGAUCACCAAGAACAGCAGAGGCAGUGAAGUGGAUCACCCUGAGUUUAGAGAGCUACAGAGGGCAGGGCUGGAGAAGUGACACCAGCCCUUUGGAGGAUCCCAGAAGAUCAUGUGUGGAUACCAGACAUUGGGACAAGAAACUGUGAAGCUGAAGUUGACUUGGAGACCCCAAGAUGUUAACGAUGCCAGAGCCAUGGGCUAUCUGCUGAGGAAAGCUGCUAACAGGGAGUGGAACCAGCCCAGGAGAUAGAACUUUAUUGUAGUCAACAAAGAUGAAAAAUGAGUUGGAGAUCUCAAGACCAUUUUGACAUCAGACGUGGAGAUGUAGAGUUCUGAGUUUGCCCAGCUGGUUUCCUGUUUUGCUUUGGGUAUUAGAGUUAAGUGAUUGGAUGACUCUCAGAAGAAACUUUGAACCUUGGACUUUUAACAUUGUUGAGACUGCUAUAAGCUAUGGAGACUUUGGAAGUUGGACUAAAAGUACUUUUUAAAUUUUGCUAUGUUUAGGUCUGGCCCCCAUAGACUCAUGUGUUUGAACAGGCCUAUCGGGACCAGGGAGUGGCAUGUGAUGGUUUAUAUAUGCUUGGCUCAGGGAGUGGCACUAUUAGGUGUGACCUUGUUGGAGUAGGUGUGUUAUUAUAGGUGAGGACUCCCACCUUGAUAAUGGAUUGAACCUCUGAACCUGUGAACCAGUCCCAAUUAAAUGUUGGCCUUAUAAGAGUUGCCAUGGUCAUGGUGUCUGUUCAGAGCACUAAAACCCUAAGACAACCCCAGUCCCGAGUACCAACAUCUUAGUCAGAAUAGACACCAUAACCAAGGCAACUCUUUUUUUUUUUUGUUCUUUUUUUCGGAGCUGGGGACCGAACCCAGGACCUUGCGCUUCCUAGGUAAGCGCUCUACCACUGAGCUAAAUCCCCAGCCCCCCAAGGCAACUCUUAUAAGGCCAACAUUUAACUGGGACUGGUUCACAGGUUCAGAGGUUCAGUCCAUUAUCAAGGCAUGAGCAUGGCUUUGUCCAAGCAGGCAUGAUGUAGGAAGAGCUGAGAGUUCUACAUCUUAUUCCGAAGACAAACAGGAGAAGACUAGCUUCCAGGCAGCUAGGAUGAGGGUCAUAAAGCCCAAGCCCAUGGUGGCCCACCAACUGCAACAAGGCCACACCUCCAAAUAGUGCCACUCCCUGGGCCAGGGAUAUUUGAACCACCACAGUGUGUGUGUGUGUGUGUGUGUGUGUGUGUGUGUGUGUGUGUGUGUUGGGGGGAGGUGGGCACUGUGUAUUCAGAUGCUGAUUACUGUGCCCAUAAAUCUGGUUGCAAUCUAGGCAUUGGCAUUUUCAAGCAUUUCCUGUUUUAAUGUUGUAAAAAUUGUUUUCCCUCAUAUCUGAUUGGUUAAUAAAGAGCUAAUUAGCCAAUGGUUGGGUAGGAGAAGAGGAAGUGGGAUUUCUGAUCCUCAUGAGAGGGUCCCUGGUGGGGACCAGAGGAGUUCCAGGCAGUUGAGCUGUCUGACAUGGGUGCUGGGAACAGAACUCCAGGUGCUGGAAACAGCUCCAAUCCUGUGCAAGUGCUUUUAACUCCUGAGCCAUCUGUCCUGCCCAGGUUUGUUUGAAACAGUGUCUCACUCUCUGGCCCCAAACUCAUCUCAGUUGUCCUGCGGAGCCCUCCUGAGUCUGAGAUUACAGGUGUAAGACACUAUACCUGGCUUUUUUUUUGUUGUUGUUUUUUUUAAUUAUGUCAUUAUCACCUAGGAAAAUUAUGGGUUUAAUUAAACAAAUUAACAUCUUCCCUAUUUUGGGUGCGUCUCUAGAAAACCCUGACAGGGAUGGUAGUAUGGACAAAUUUCUUAAUCGGGUGAAGUCUAUAUUAGGAGUAUAUUGCUCAGGAAUGUGUUGGUUUUCAUUGUAUUUGUACAUAUUCAAGUGUGUCUGUCUUUGUGUAUGCCACCCAUGGAAGGGUGUUCAUGGAGGCCAAAAGAGGGUGUUAGAUCCCCUGAAGCUGACGUCACAAUUGGCUGUGAGCCACCUGAUGUGGGUGCUAGGACAUGAGGAACCUGGAGUGAAGGAAGCACUCCUACCCACUGACCCAGCACCACCUCCCAUGUCUCCAGCCCUUAACUGCUCCAAGUUUAUG
ensembl:lncRNA